UAACCGUAGCCAGAACGGCAACCCGCUUCAUCAUCAUCACUUUAAGCUUUUGUUGUGACACUGACACUGACAGUAACACUAACUCAGCACAGCAGCCAAAAACCCUAAUUCCCACUCUAAUAAGUAAAAUCACAAAAUCUUCCUUGAGUAAGCAGCCGUUAGAAUAUCCUCAAUUAAAACCACCACCUUCUGUUGCAGAUCCUCCUCUUCCUUCUCUUCUAAAUUAACAGCACACACAUAAACCCUAAAAGAAGAAGAAAGAGAAAAGAUGGCUACUUGCUUAAACCAUUGUGAAACCCUUUCUUCCACCUCCAUUUUCCCCAACAAAUCUCUCACCUUGCCUCGUCUCUCAAGACGACGUAGUUUUGGCUUGUUUUCCUAUAAAAAUUACAAUUUCUCUUCUCUAAACCUCCACCCAUGGCCACCUCGCCGUACCACCCGCCACUUAAAACGGUGCAGCAGCAACUCCGUACGGUGCAGCAGCAUCUCUGAUGUAACCGUAAAAACCCUAACAGAAGCUCCAAACGUAGGCAAACGCACCGAUAUAAAGAAGAUCAUGAUUCUGGGUGCGGGUCCCAUUGUAAUAGGGCAAGCUUGUGAGUUUGAUUAUUCAGGUACACAAGCAUGUAAAGCAUUGAAAGAAGAAGGAUACGACGUCAUAUUGAUUAAUUCAAAUCCAGCUACAAUCAUGACCGACCCGGAUUUAGCGGAUAGAACUUACAUUGCACCAAUGACACCGGAAUUAGUGGAGCAAGUUAUCGAAAAGGAGCGACCUGAUGCUCUGUUACCAACUAUGGGUGGUCAAACGGCGUUGAAUUUAGCGGUGGCUUUAGCUGAAAGAGGUACAUUGGAAAAAUAUAAUGUUGAAUUAAUAGGAGCUAAACUUGACGCUAUUAAAAAAGCUGAAGAUAGAGAUUUGUUUAAACAAGCUAUGAAAAAUAUUGGUCUUAAAACGCCACCAUCUGGUAUUGGUACUACUAUUGAUGAAUGCUUUCAUAUCGCUAAUGAUAUUGGUGAGUUUCCGUUGAUUAUUAGGCCGGCAUUUACUUUAGGUGGAACUGGAGGCGGCAUUGCAUAUAAUAUUGAAGAAUUCGAGGGAAUUUGUAAAGGAGGGUUAGCGGAGAGUUUAACUUCUCAAGUUUUGGUUGAGAAGUCAUUAUUAGGAUGGAAAGAAUAUGAAUUGGAAGUAAUGCGUGAUUUAGCUGAUAAUGUUGUUAUAAUUUGUUCAAUUGAGAAUUUUGAUCCGAUGGGAGUGCAUACUGGUGAUUCGAUUACGGUUGCUCCAGCUCAGACUUUAACUGAUAAGGAGUACCAGAGAUUGAGGGAUUAUUCAAUUAAGAUUAUCAGAGAGAUUGGUGUCGAAUGUGGUGGGUCUAAUGUGCAGUUCGCUGUUAAUCCUGUUGAUGGUGAGGUUAUGAUUAUUGAAAUGAACCCUAGGGUUUCAAGGUCUUCCGCUUUGGCUUCUAAGGCUACUGGUUUUCCUAUAGCAAAAAUGGCUGCUAAGUUGUCUGUUGGGUAUUCAUUGGAUCAAAUUCCUAAUGAUAUUACGAAGAAGACACCUGCUAGUUUCGAACCUUCUAUUGACUAUGUGGUGACCAAGAUCCCGCGAUUUGCAUUUGAGAAAUUCCCCGGUUCUCAGCCAAUUCUGACAACCAGGAUGCAAUCUGUUGGUGAGGCCAUGUCAAUUGGUCGAACUUUUCAAGAGUCCUUUCAGAAAGGAGUUCGGUCACUGGAGUCUGGUUACUCAGGAUGGGGUUGUGCAAAAGUUAAGGAACUUGACUGGGACUGGGACCAACUGAAGUACAACCUCCGAGUUCCAAACCCAGAUCGUAUUUAUGCUGUUUAUGCUGCAAUGAAGAAAGGGAUGAAAGUUGAUGAAAUCCAUGAACUGAGCUUAAUUGACAAGUGGUUCCUUAAUCAGCUUAAAGAGUUGGUGGAUGUGGAACAAUAUCUAAUGACUCGGAGCUUGGCUGAUAUGAUCAAGGAUGACUUCUACGAGAUUAAAAAACGCGGUUUCAGUGAUAAACAGAUAGCGUUUGCUACUAAAUCAACAGAGAAGGAAGUUCGUUCAAAACGAUUGUCUUUUGGAGUUACUCCAGCAUAUAAGCGGGUAGACACCUGUGCUGCUGAGUUUGAGGCUAAUACUCCUUAUAUGUACUCCUCCUAUGAUGCUGAGUGUGAAUCAGCUCCCACCAACAAGAAAAAGGUUUUGAUUUUAGGUGGAGGACCAAAUCGUAUAGGACAAGGGAUUGAGUUUGAUUACUGCUGUUGCCAUACCUCUUUUGCUCUCCAGAGUGCAGGAUAUGAAACAAUUAUGAUGAAUUCAAAUCCUGAAACCGUAUCAACUGAUUAUGAUACAAGUGACCGUCUUUAUUUCGAGCCCUUGACAGUAGAAGAUGUUGUGAAUGUAAUUGAUCUGGAAAGGCCUGAUGGCAUUAUUGUACAGUUCGGAGGUCAAACACCCCUGAAGCUUGCUCUGCCCAUUCAGCAAUACCUAGAUGAACAUAAGCCUGUUUCUGCCAGUGGAGCUGGGCAUGUUCGCAUAUGGGGUACAUCACCAGACUCUAUUGAUGCUGCUGAGGACAGAGAGAGGUUCAAUGCAAUUGUUAAAGAGUUGCAGAUUGAGCAGCCAAAAGGAGGCAUUGCCAAGACCGAAGCUGAUGCACUUACCAUUGCAAAAGACAUAGGUUACCCUGUUGUAGUCCGUCCUUCAUAUGUGUUGGGUGGCCGUGCAAUGGAGAUUGUAUAUAGUGAUGAAAAGCUUGUGACGUAUCUUGAAAAUGCUGUCAAGGUGGACCCUGACCGACCUGUUUUGAUUGAUAAAUAUUUGUCCGAUGCUGUUGAGAUUGAUGUAGAUGCACUUGCAGAUUCACAUGGUAAUGUUGUGAUUGGUGGGGUAAUGGAACAUAUCGAGCAGGCUGGGGUACAUUCUGGUGACUCAGCUUGCAUCCUUCCCACACAAACUAUCUCUUCUUCUUGUCUGGACACAAUAAGGUCAUGGACUAUGAAAUUGGCAAAGAGUCUAAAAGUUUGUGGACUCAUGAAUUGCCAGUAUGCUAUCACAUUGGCUGGGGAGGUUUUUCUGCUGGAGGCAAAUCCUCGUGCUUCUCGUACUGUCCCAUUUGUCUCCAAGGCAAUUGGUCAUCCACUGGCUAAAUAUGCUUCUCUUGUUAUGUCUGGCAUAUCACUUAAUGAGCUAGGAUUCACCAAAGAGGUGAUUCCAGCACAUGUGGCUGUCAAGGAAGUAGUUCUUCCAUUUAAUAAGUUCCCAGGCUGUGAUGUGAUGUUAGGACCUGAAAUGAGGAGCACUGGUGAGGGUAUGGGCAUUGAUUUUGCACUUCCUAUUGCAUAUGCUAAAGGUCAAAUCGCUACUGGGCAGAAACUGCCGCUUUCUGGCACUGCGUUCAUCAGUUUGAAUGACUUAACGAAACCCCACCUUGAAAAACUUGCGAAUGCCUUUUUAGAACUUGGGUUUAGGAUUAUUUCAACUUCAGGGACAGCUCAUUUUCUUGAGUUGAAAGGUAUCCCUGUGGAGCGAGUACUGAAGAUGCAUGAAGGGCGGCCGCAUGCUGGUGAUAUGCUUGCUAAUGGGCAAAUCCAGUUGAUGGUGAUGACAAGUUCUGGUGAUUCACUUGAUCAAAUUGAUGGCCUGCAACUGAGGAGGAUGGCUCUUGCCUAUAAGGUUCCUAUAAUAACAACAGUAGCUGGUGCUUUGGCAACUGCAGAAGCUAUAAAGAGCUUAAGAUCCUGCCCGAUUGAUAUGAUAGCCCUUCAGGACUUCUUUGAUGUUGAGAUACGUGAAGAAAGUAGUAAACACUUGCAGUCAGCUUCUUCUCUAUGAUUUAGGCGGCUGAUUUACACAAAGAUAUUUGGAGGACUGGAACCUGCAAUUUUUGCUCAAGUUUGAAAGUUGAAAUGAGGAUGAGAUCCAAAGUCUAAAACACGCAGUGGCUUGACAGAAAAAAAGAAAAAGCAUUUCUGUUUCUUGGCAGUGUUGAUUUUCUUGUUUCUUGUUUUCCCUUCUUUUGCACAGUGAACAAAUUGUCACUGAUUUUGUUUCUAUUUGGAUUGCCUUGCAUCAUGUAAUAGCAUACUGUAAUCACCCUCUUGUGAUUUUCGUUGUGGAGUGUGGUUCAAAUCUUUGAUCUAUACUCGGUGCUCCUUUUGAUUAUCAAGAAAAAGAAAAAAAAAAAAGAUGUUAGAUUGGAUUUAUCUA